CAACUCCCAGGUGUGGAGAGUCUCCUGGAACAUCACUAGCACCUUGCUGGCCUCCUCAGGAGACGACGGCUGUGUCCGACUCUGGAAAGCCAACUAUAUGGACAACUGGAAGUGUACGGGCAUCCUGAAGGGAGACGGAAGUCCAGUCAACGGGUCGUCAGGACAACCCGGUGCCAUGAAUACCAUGGUGGGGUCCACUGUCCAGACCUCCCAGAAUGCACUGAACGGUUCUGCUGCAGGAAGGUAGGAGGCCCGCGCCCUCUGUCGGCCGGCCAGAGCUGGCGACUGACUGCCUGCCUGCCUCACUGCUUUACGGUCUCUGGGCCUGACUGACACUGCAGCGCUGACCCCCCCUCCCUGGGUCAACUGACACUGUGUGUUGCGCUCAUGCAAAGAGCUUGGCUUGUGGCAAGGCCCAGCAGGCCAGACCCAGCAGGCCAGACCCAGCACGUAGGCCUGCUCCCUGUGGCAGGCCUGUCUGCUCGUCAUAAAAUGAGUGUUUGGGGGGGGGGGGGGGCUAUUUGCUACAGUUUUUUAAAUGUUCGUACAAUAAUUUUUGGUAAUUGUUUAUUGACACAAUUUUAUGUUGAUUGGAACACGAAUGUUAUUUUGAAGAAUAUAGUUUUUUAAAACAUUUUAGAUGAGUUGUUACAGAUGUCUGUGGUCCUCACAUAAUGCCCUGGAAAUGGUCAUCAUUUAAAUAUAUUUACAUACCAGGGCCAAACAUACAGGCUCGCUAAAUUGAAUAAUUGACUCUUUUGAUGUAAUCUUAUAAUAGCAUGUGUAGAAUGUUUUGAAGGGCAUAUUGAUAAAUAAUAAACGUUCAUAUUUUCAAUAUUCAAUAAAAGAAUUACCAAAACGUU